GGCGUGGAUAAGACAUGCAAGUCGAGCGGGAUGUAGCAAUACAUUCAGCGGCGCAAGGGUGCGUAACACGUGGGCAAUUUGCCGAGAAGUGGGGGAUAGCUCGCCGAAAGGCGAAUUAAUACCGCAUGUGACUAGGGACGACAUCUUCCCAACGUCAAAGCCGGGGCAACCUGGCGCUUCUUGAUAAGCCCGCGGCCUAUCAGCUAGUUGGCGAGGUAACGGCUCACCAAGGCAUUGACGGGUAGCUGGUCUCAGAGGACGACCAGCCACACUGGAACUGAGACACGGUCCAGACACCUACGGGUGGCAGCAGUCGAGAAUUUUUCUCAAUGGGGGAAACCCUGAAGGAGCGACGCCGCGUGGAGGAUGAAGGUCUUCGGAUUGUAAACUCCUGUCAUUUGAGAACAAGUGGUUGCCAGUAACUACGGCGGCCUUGAUAGUAUCAGAAGAGGAAGAGACGGCUAACUCUGUGCCAGCAGCCGCGGUAAUACAGAGGUCUCAAGCGCUGUUCGGAUUCAUUGGGCGUAAAGGGAGCGUAGGCGGUCGGGUAAGUUGGAUGUGAAAUCCUGGGGCUCAACCUCAGAACUGCAUUCAAUACUGCUUGGCUAGAGUACUGGAGAGGUGAGUGGAAU
rnacentral:rRNA from 1 species